rnacentral:miRNA from 1 species
ACAGGACAGCGAGAAGGC